UGGCGUUGGAGUGGGUGGUGCUGGCCUACGUGGCGGGGGCGGAGGCGAUCAUGCUGCUCUUCCUCACCCUUCCGGGGCUCGAUCGACUCCGGCGGGGUCUCGUCGCCGUUGUCCGGAGCGCCCUGAAGCCGCUCCUCUCGGUGGUGCCCUUCUGCCUCUUCCUCAUCGCUGACAUUUACUGGAAGUACGAGAUGCGGCCGUUCUGCGAGCAGGAAGCCUGCACCCCCUCUGAACACCUUCGCCACCAGAAGUCCAUCAUCAAGAGCCAACGUAACGCUCUCCUUAUCGCUUCCGCUCUCCUCCUCUACUGGCUCCUCUUCUCCGUCUCCGGC
rnacentral:lncRNA from 1 species